rnacentral:rRNA from 1 species
CCUACGGGGGGCAGCAGUGGGGAAUAUUGGGCAAUGGGCGCAAGCCUGACCCAGCAAUGCCGCGUGAAGGAAGAAGGCUUUCGGGUUGUAAACUUCUUUGACAGGGGAAGAGCAGAAGACGGUACCCUGAAAACAAGCCACGGCUAACUACGUGCCAGCAGCCGCGGUAAUACGUAGGUGGCAAGCGUUGUCCGGAUUUACUGGGUGUAAAGGGCGUGUAGCCGGGAAGGCAAGUCAGAUGUGAAAUCUGGAGGCUCAACCUCCAAAUUGCAUUUGAAACUGUUUUUCUUGAGUACUGGAGAGGCAGACGGAAUUCCUUGUGUAGCGGUGAAAUGCGUAGAUAUAAGGAGGAACACCAGUGGCGAAGGCGGUCUGCUGGACUGCAACUGACACUGAGGCUCGAAAGUGUGGGUAUCAAACAGGAUUAGAUACCCCAGUAGUC